AUUGAGACAAGGAAACUUGGAAUGACUUUUCAUAGGUUUCCCAGAGACUAUGGGUUGAAGAGGAAUUGGAAGUUUGUCGGCUUAGACCUGGUGUCAUUCCAUCAGUGUUAAACUUCCCGGCUCAUCUUGGAAGAGUACGUACCAGAAAGACCACAACCAAGCAGCCUUGAGAUCUUAGGCAGCGUCUCCCUGAGGUCCCUCUCUAUCUCCCCACACAUCCACCAACCACUGGAACACAUCUCCAAAGUUCUGCCGGGCCAGCUCAGCUUCCCCUCAGAAGAAGUGCUGCCACCUGCCAGAUGAAGGAGCCUUUUGAGAGGCAGCUGGCAUCGUGAUUGGACUGUACUUUGGUCUGUUCCAAUCCAGCUUCAGCUCCAGAGACGGCAGGCGGAACGAGUCAACGGAGGCCGGGUGGACGAAGGCAUGCAGCUGAGUACAAUCCAGAAAACAACAGAGGAGGAGUGCAGUGGCCCAGGGCCAGAACAAACAGAGUAGCAUCAUAUGUCUCUUAGAAAACAUCAUAGUUUAGCCUUUGGUAUGAAAAAACGCCAUCAUAUACAUCGUAUAUUGUACAAAUAAGUCAAAGGAAAGAGACAUACAUUGUAGAAUUGUAGUAAUUGUGGGCU
ensembl:lncRNA